AGCAGCCGCGGUAAUUCCAGCUCCAAUAGCGUAUAUUAAAGUUGUUGCAGUUAAAAGCUCGUAGUUGAAUUUCGGGGUUAGUAGGUUGGUCAUGCCUCUGGUAUGUACUGGUCUCACUGAUUCCUCCUUCCUGAUGAGCCGUAAUGCCAUUAAUUUGGUGUUGCGGGAUUGUGUGUUACUUUGAAAAAUUAGAGUGUUUAAAGCAAGCUAACGCUUGAAUACAUUAGCAUGGAAUAAUGAAAUAGGACGUUCGAUCCUAUUUUGUUGGUUUCUAGGAUUGACGUAAUGAUUAAUAGGGAUAGUUGGGGGCAUUAGUAUUCAAUUGUCAGAGGUGAAAUUCUUGGAUUUAUUGAAGACUAACUACUGCGAAAGCAUUUGCCAAGGAUGUUUUCAUUAAUCAAGAACGAAAGUUAGGGGAUCGAAGACGAUCAGAUACCGUCGUAGUCUUAACCAUAAACUAUGCCGACUAGGGAUCGGAUGAUGUUAAUUUUUUAAUGACUCAUUCGGCGCCUUACGGGAA
rnacentral:misc_RNA from 1 species